rnacentral:rRNA from 1 species
CACGUAGGGCGCAAGCGUUGUCCGGAAUUAUUGGGCGUAAAGAGCUCGUAGGCGGUCUGUUGCGUCCGCUGUGAAAACUCGGGGCUUAACCCCGAGCCUGCAGUGGAUACGGGCAGACUAGAGGUAGGUAGGGGAGAAUGGAAUUCCCGGUGUAGCGGUGAAAUGCGCAGAUAUCGGGAGGAACACCGGUGGCGAAGGCAGCGAUCUGGGUAGAUACUGACGCUGAGGUGCGAAAGCCAGGGGAGCGAACGGG